rnacentral:rRNA from 1 species
UGGGGAAUAUUGCACAAUGGGCGCAAGCCUGAUGCAGCCAUGCCGCGUGUAUGAAGAAGGCCUUCGGGUUGUAAAGUACUUUCAGCGGGGAGGAAGGUGUUGAGGUUAAUAACCUCAGCAAUUGACGUUACCCGCAGAAGAAGCACCGGCUAACUCCGUGCCAGCAGCCGCGGUAAUACGGAGGGUGCAAGCGUUAAUCGGAAUUACUGGGCGUAAAGCGCACGCAGGCGGUCUGUCAAGUCGGAUGUGAAAUCCCCGGGCUCAACCUGGGAACUGCAAUCGAAACUGGCAGGCUAGAGUCUUGUAGAGGGGGGUAGAAUUCCAGGUGUAGCGGUGAAAUGCGUAGAGAUCUGGAGGAAUACCGGUGGCGAAGGCGGGCUCCUGG